CACGCCCCUGACGCCUCGGCCUGGGACUGUCGGCGCUGCCCUGGGGUUGGGGUUGGGGUUGCUUACUGCCGACUCCGACGCCGUGGCCUCCGGUCCAGAUGUUGCUGCCUGCUGGACAUGCAAACUGAAUCCUCCGGCCCGUCCCCGCCAGUGCCGCCUGAGCCCCCGCCCGCACCCGCGAUGGCGGCCUUGUCCGUGGGUACUACCAAGGAGGCCGCAAGAGCCUGUACACUGUCGGCGAGCUGCCGUUCAGUACGAAGGAGUUUGAGGUCACCUUACCUGACAACAAGCCAGGUCCAUCUGAGCAAAGGAGGGAAUGCAAGUUCAAGGGGACCAUCGAGCGCACCAUUCUGGUUAGCCUGCAACAGCUGCAGAUGCUCAUGGCCGGGAUCUCCAUGGACAUGCCGGUGCAGGCGCUGCAGUGAUCAUCAUCCGAACAAAUGCAGAUUUUUUUUACUUUACUGGUUACUGAUUUCAUCAAGUGGAGACCAAGUGAACCAUUUGACGUCUUUCGAUUAUAUGUUCUUUUAUGCACUUGAUCCGUGAAUGAGGCUGAGGCUGGCUUGGGCAGAGACAGUCAGUCGCCUUCUGGAGCUAGAUGGAGAGCUUAUCACCUUCAUAUAUUUAGUGAGAAUGGAAUGUCUUCUUCUUGGUUAUUUUUGCAUUGAAGAUGUUAUUCUACUUAUCAUAUGAUAUUAUGAUACUAAACUCACUCUAAAAAUGUGAACCAUUUGAUUUACCUUUAAGAUUUUCGAAGUUGUUCUAUGUUACAAGAAUAGCAUAAUCCUGGAUACCACCACAAUCUGUCCUUCUAUCAAAGAUCAAGAGUAGACAGAGUAGUCAUAGGUAUCAACUAGAAGUUACAACAACUACUGAGUCUAUGACUGCAAGUUCUGGACCUUGAAGAAAGCAAAUAGAAUCUAGGUAUCUUAGUAGAGCCAAAUUCUUAUGAGUAAAUUACCUUAUACUUUCCUGGACCUGUGUUCCAGAGAACUCAACACAGACUAAUACAUAGUGAUGGACGUUGGAUGAAUUGAUUAAUGUGGAGACCAUAGCUUGGUAUAAAUCAGCGGACUUGCAACCAAGUCUGAACACUUGACGCUAAUCCAGCAACCAUCUUAUCAUGUUUUUCUCAUUUCCUAUCCUUAUGUAGCCACAUUUUUUCUUGACCUUUGCAGGUGCUCGACAUUGUGUUGCGCAACAUUGUGCUCAACGAACGCAAUGGCAUGGGGUAACAACCGCGCUCCGCCCUUUGUGUGGUUAAUUGUUAUCGAUCAUUUUGCAUGCUUUUCUUAUUUGUUGGGGACUUGUUGUCACCUGUGCGCCACACGUUCAUCCUGGUAGGCCAGUCUUUGUUCUCGCAGACCAUUGAGGAACCCAUCAAGUUAGGCCAGGGUAUCGAAGGAUGGAACGGGUUCUGCCAGAGCAUCAUACCUACCUGCAGUGGAUUGUUCCCUCAACAUAGACAUGUCAUCAACGACUUUCGUUUGAGCUGUGUCGCUGACUAAUUUCAUUGGGGAGGUUCUUGACAAGAGAGAUCUCAUUUGUGGCAUUCAUGACUUGACUAUCUUAAGGUAUGCACAUUUUCGGAAUCAAAUGUAUCGCGACCAAGUUGCUGCUGUGGUGGUAUGGUAGGUUUUGUUUUCACAUUCCGCUGCAGAUUAAGAAAGCCCUCAGGGGUGUGAGAGUUGAGGUCGCCCACCGAAUUAUCGACUGGCGAAACCAAGAGUGUGAGGGAGUACUUCAGAGAAACUUACAAGCUGCAACUACCUUGCAAUUUUCUCCCCUGCCUGCAAGUUACAGAGCAGAAACCCAACUAUCUUCCAAUGGAGGUUUGUGCAAAUGGAGUCCAAGUUGCGUUGUGGUGGUAUGGUAAGACAACUCAACUCAUCGGUUGUGGCAAAAUGUUAUCCCUAAAAGUAAUAACUAAUUUGCAUAUAUGCUCUGGCUCUCUGUAUGAAUUAGGUGCCUCCAAAUAAGUUCUCAAAAAAAUAAAAAUACAAAAAUAAGUUGGUUCGGAAUCAGCAUGUGGAUCUUGUUGCAAUUGAUUGCAUCAGGUCUAGCUCGUUUCAUUGUAUUCUCUUUGUUCAUUAUUCAUGCUCUGCUACUUAUUGUCAUUUUUGGCCAAAUAAAACAGUGUGCUCAAGUAACAUUUUAGUUUUUCUUUUUUGCGAAAUAAUAUUUUUGUGGUUAAAACGAAAGAAACCAUUUUAUCACUCCAGUCCACGAGGACACAGAGAAAAAAAACAAAUCCACCAUAAUCUUGUCUUCCUACUUACUUUUACUAAACAAGAAAAAUAAACUACAAAGGAAUCUUCUAAAAAAUAGAUAAAAUAUCAUUUUUCAGAUUGAAAUGUACAACUCAACUUGUCUUUUACUUCUGUUAUGUGCAUGUUCAUCGUGCUGGAUGGUGUUGUACUUGUAAAUACCAGAAUUGCAGGCAAAACAAAGUAAUGGAUGGUCUACAAGAAUCUGGAUGAAUUCAUCUCCAUGGUAAAAUAAGCCAGCCAGCGUGCAUUCCAUUUGGUUGGAAAUAAUAUUGCCUUUGAAAUGUAUGAGUGAUUCUUGGCAUCUGACAUUGCUGAAUCCAACAUUGAUGUUGUCUUGUUACGCAUACCUUUGUAAAUUCUCUUGGGGAGAAAAUGUAUAAAUUGAAAUUUGCAACAUUGCCCCCAAAAUAGAUGAGGUUCACACAUAUAAUUAUGGAUUUGUGUAGUUUAUGAUCUCAGAGUUUUUGAAAGCACCAUUAAUGAUUUCUAUUUGUAUAGAGUAAACAAAAUGGCAUUCAACGCCUUUAAACCUAACUCUCAGUAGUUGUAAGAGCCUGGAAACGUGGUUUUGGACCUCCAAUGCUAACUUGGAAAAUAUGGUACUAUAUCAUAUGAUGACUAUUACCUUGGUUGUUUUUUGUUCUUGUCAUUUUAUCACACGGCCAUCAAGUACUUAUGAUCCAUGCAUACAAGGUGUAUUUGAUUG